rnacentral:rRNA from 1 species
UACGGGGGGGGCAAGCGUUGUUCGGAAUUACUGGGCGUAAAGGGCCCGUAGGUGGCCAAUUAAGUCAGACGUGAAAUCCCCAGGCUCAACUUGGGAACUGCGUCUGAUACUGGUUGGCUUGAAUUCGGGAGAGGGAUGCAGAAUUCCAGGUGUAGCGGUGAAAUGCGUAGAUAUCUGGAGGAAUACCGGUGGCGAAGGCGGCAUCCUGGACCGAGAUUGACACUGAGGAGCUAAAGCCAGGGGAGCAAACGGG